rnacentral:rRNA from 1 species
AUUGAUCGCUGGCGUCAGGCUUCACACAUGCCAGUCGAGCGCGCGGCGGCCGGGUUAGUAAUGUUUGGUAAACUGCAUGAUAGAGGGGACUAACUAAUGGCAACGGUCGCUAAUACCGCAUACCAUCAGAUGUGCCCAGAUGGGAUUAGAUAGUAGGUGUGGUAAUGGCUCACCUAGGCGACGAUCCCUAGCUGGUCUGAGAGGAUGACCAGCCACACUGGAAAUGAGACACGGCCCAUACACCGACGGGAGGCAGCAGUGGGGAAUAGUGCACAAUGGGCGCAAGCCUGAUGCAGCCAUGCCGCGUGAGUGAAGAAGGCCUUCGGGUUGUAAAGUACUUUCAGCGAGGAGGCGUUACUCGCAGAAGAAGCACCGGCGAACUCCGCGCCAGCAGCCGCGGUAAUAC